AGGAUCCAUUCAUGCUCGCUCACCCCCUCUCGCCCCCCUAACCCACACUGCAGUUUGCUGGGGCUGGGUCCCCAUCAGGCCCGAGGAGGAAGGAGAGAAGGCACUCUGGUCCUUGGCAUGUCCUGCUUGCCUCUGUGAUGCCUGCCUUCAUACUCCGGCGGGCUGUUCAGAGGUGGAGGGACUUUGUCCACGGUCACUCGGCACUGGACGCAUGAUUCUAGAGGAAGUCUCAGUUCGUUCUUGCUGAAGGACACAGGGCCACUCUCCUUGUGAUGAAUGAGAGUAGCAACCCAGAGGAAGAGGCAAGCUCUCCUGUGAGCCGGCCCUGGCCUGGGCUCUGGGAAGACCACAAGAGGGGGAACAGCUGUGCCCAGAGGACUUGCAUGCCAACCCAGAGACAAAACAGGGAAGGUGUUUGCUCAGGAUGAACACAGGGACUGAGCACCUCGACUUAUGUGCAGCCUUGUGUCCAGUGGAGUGUGUGAGGGGAGGUAUUGGGGGGAGGGCCUUUGAUACCUGCUUACCCCACUCAUCUCUAUAGGAGCCGAGUCUAGACGCCAAGGCCCUCCUGGAGCUGCCUCUGGAGACAUUGGCCACGAAGCUUCAGAAUGAAGCGCUGAGUCUAGAGAGUGUCCGCUGUAGCUCUUUGGAGAAGGCUCUGCAGGUGCAUCAGGAGGGGAGUUGUCUGACGGACUUCCUGGAGGGAUGUGAGGAGCAGCUGCAAGAAUUGAAGAACCUCAACAAGUGAAGCGAGGCCCUGACGCCAGUGUCCCCAGGAACUAUAAGGACCCCUAUGACUGCCAGGUGAGCCCGAGGGUGUACGUUCACAUAGGUACGUGUGUGUACACAGACACAUUUGCCGGUGAGUCUGUGAACAUCUGAGCAUGUGACAUUGGACAAGUUAUGUGUCAGUUACGUAAUCUACUGUCAACGUGAGCGAAGGGAUGGAGUCUAGCCUGUCAAUCAAGUCAUAGCCAAUGAGGCU